rnacentral:rRNA from 1 species
CAGCAGCCACGGUAAUACGUAGGGUGCAAGCGUUAAUCGGAAUUACUGGGCGUAAAGCGUGCGCAGGCGGUUAUAUAAGACAGAUGUGAAAUCCCCGGGCUCAACCUGGGAACUGCAUUUGUGACUGUAUAGCUAGAGUACGGCAGAGGGGGAUGGAAUUCCGCGUGUAGCAGUGAAAUGCGUAGAUAUGCGGAGGAACACCGAUGGCGAAGGCAAUCCCCUGGGCCUGUACUGACGCUUAUGCACGAAAGCGUGGGGAGCAAACAGGAUUAGAUACCCCUGUAGUCCCUGUCUCUUAUAC